rnacentral:lncRNA from 1 species
UCCAAGCCAGAAUUGGGUAAGGCUCAGUAAGAAAGUACCCAGGUGAGAUUGGGUGUUGUUUAUUGGGUAUGUCUGCAUAAAAGGAGACGGUUCAAUCAUAUAUCUCUACAUAGUCACUGCUAAUUAUUAGCAGCUAAUUAUUAGGAGCAUUUUGCUUCGUUAAUUGAAAUUUUGCGUAGCUAGGUGAUGACAGACAACAGCUACCUUGCUGUCUGUCCAGUGACCCCCCCGAACAAGCAUCCAGCUGCUCUCUGGUCUGCACUGGGGUGAAACCUGCAAUAGAAGCACUGCAACCAUCAUUAUCAUGUUUUUUAGAGAGGUAACACUGGGGAAGAUUUUCCACUCUCUCUGUGUGGGGAAUGUUGCUGUUAUCCUUUAGGAGAUUAUGAGUGGCCCAGUCUGAUGGUCCUUUCGUCCCUCCUGUAUCCUAUGCUAGUAUGGAUUUCCAGGGACCCCACAACUUCAGGAUGGGAUUAUUUUCCUUAAUUGUUCCCAGUCAGUCCGUCUCAUUCUUCUUGGGGGUUCUGGAUCUAUUCCCUUGACAGCUUCUUGCCAGACUGCUGUUUCUGAGAAUGCUCCGCCUUCCUUGGGCUGUAGUCUUUUAUUCCAACCACUGCUAAUCAGUACAUACAUAGCUGCAGAUCAUGAAGUAGCUGCUCAGCACAUUAACUCCUUGGUAGCUGGCAGUUCCUGCCGCUCUGAGGACAUCCUGCUGCUUGUGAGAGAGCAGGCCGGGCACACCUCUGCACCAUGCAAUGCAGCAUCAUGUGUGAGACCUCUCUACUACCCCUAAAGGAACCGUUUUCCAGGUAAUCACAGUGCCCUGCAUUGAUACUGGGGGUCCUAGAAGCGAAGUAGCCAUGUUG